CGUGACGGGCGGGCGCACCGCCCCUAAGCGCGUCGGGGGUGGGGCCGGGCCUCACCACUCGCGGCCGCGGGGGUGUGCGGCAUCGUGGGACGGCUGGCGGUCACCAGAUGUAGGUGUGUGAGAUCACUAAGGCUUCUGGGAGAGAUGUGGAAGACAGCUACAGAACUAAUAGGUACCAAGGCCUUGGGAUGAAACCUACAAGAGUGAAGAAGGGAAAUGGGGCCUCUCCACUCUGGGGAGAUGUGGCAUGUCACUCACCCCAGGGUCAGAAAGGAUCAGAUGCCUAGUUGGUAUUCUGCUCUGUUACCCUCCUCUCGGUGAGAAAGGUAAGUCCUUCUAAAUCUCUUGUGCCCAGUGUCUGUCCUGAGAGGUGGGAAGAAAUUUUCUUCUCCUGUUAAAUCAAACAUUAAUGGCUCUUGCCCAGCGUCUGGGUGAGUUUGGGGAUUAAGAUAGUAUCAGUUGGAGGGGGAGGGAUAAAUUAAGGGAUUGACAUAUAUACACUACUGUAUAUAAAAUAGAUAGGUAACAAGGACCUAGAGUACAGCACAGAGGAAUCUACUCAAUAUUGUGUAAUAACCUAUAUGAGAAAAGAACCUGAAUAGGAAUGAUAUAUAUGUAUAACUGAUUUACUUUAUUGUACAUUGAAACUACCACAAUUUUCUGAGUCAACUAUACUUCAGAAGAAUUUAUUU